CCUACGGGAGGCUGCAGUGAGGAAUAUUGGUCAAUGGGCGCGAGCCUGAACCAGCCAAGUCGCGUGAGGGAGGACGGCCCUACGGGUUGUAAACCUCUUUUGUCGGGGAGCAACGGGCGCCACGUGUGGCGUCACUGAGAGUACCCGGAGAAAAAGCAUCGGCUAACUCCGUGCCAGCAGCAGCGGUAAUACGGAGGAUGCGAGCGGUAUCCGGAUUUAGUGGGGUUAAAGGGUGCUUAGGCGGAUCGUUAAGUCAGUGGUCAAAUAUAGGGGCUCAACCCCUUCCCGCCAUUGCAACUGGCGUUCUUGAGUGGAAGAGAAGUAUGCGGAAUGCGUGGUGUAGCGGUGAAAUGCAUAGAUAUCACGCAGAACCCCGAUUGCGAAGGCAGCAUGCCGGCUUCCGACUGACGCUGAAGCACGAAAGCGUGGGGAUCGAACAGGAUUAGAUACCCUGGUAGUC
rnacentral:rRNA from 1 species